CUGGGCCCAGUCCCCCCAUAGCACUUGACCCGAGGGCAUGGGGUAGCUGCAGAGGCUUCCACUCCUGUGCUGCACGACAUGGGCUAAUGUGAGAGGUGCGGUCCUCUUCUUCAACCCCUUCCAGAAGACUACACCUCAGGACUCUGUUCAUGUUCCAGAGGAACAGAAACACUCUUUCUGCAGAGAGUUUGGUGCGGUGGCCUUCCUGUCACUGACUGCACACACGGAGGAGGAAGCCGAAGCUUAGAGAAUCCCCAAGUAUCCCUCUGUGCUCUGUUCCUGCCUGCCCCAAGAUUCUGAC